AUUGAACGCUGGCGGCGUGCCUAACACAUGCAAGUCGAGCGGAGCGGCGGACGGGAAAGUAAUGCCUAGUAAUCUGCCUGGUCGUGGGGGAUCCCGUCCGGAACCGGGCGCUAAUACCGCAUACUAUCAGAUGAGCCUGGGUCGGCUUAGCUAGUUGGUGGGGUAAGGGCCUACCAAGGCGACGAUCCGUAACUGGUCUGAGAGGAUGAUCAGUCACACUGGAACUGAGACACGGUCCAGACUCCUACGGGAGGCAGCAGUGGGGAAUAUUGGACAAUGGGCGAAAGCCUGAUGCAGCAAUGCCGCGUGUGUGAAGAAGGUCUUCGGAUUGUAAAGCACUUUAAGUUGGGAGGCGUUACCCACAGAAUAAGCACCGGCUAACUACGUGCCAGCAGCCGCGGUAAUAC
rnacentral:rRNA from 1 species